GACAGAGGUGCCGAGCGUUAGGCGGAAUCACUGGGGCUUAAAGCGUGUGUAGGCGGGUCGUUAAGUGUCUUGUGAAAUCCCCCCGGCUCAACCCGGGGGAAUGGCUGGGGCAUACUGGCGAUCUUGAGCAGUCUAGGGGGCAGAUGGAACAAGUGGUGGAGCGGUGAAAUGCGCAGAUAUCAGGAGGAACACCGGUGGCGAAGGCGGGGUCUCUGGGCCGAUACUGACGCUGAGGAGCGAAAAGCGUGGGGGAGC
rnacentral:rRNA from 1 species